CGAAAGGAAUAUAAAUUCGAAAUAUGGACGAAAUAUGCAACGAAAUAUAGAACGACAUAUCGACGAAAUAUAACAUAGACGAAAAUAUGGCGAUUCUCGAUUAAUUUAAUGGCUUCCGGUGAUCUGUAAAUGUGUUGAAUUUUGCUGCAUUUCCCGCACAAUUUUUUACCGUGGCAAUAUCGGACUUUCUCAAUCUUACGAAGAUCAGGUUUCUUCCAGCCUUCACUUGUUCCAUCGAAAUUGACGAUCCCGAAUUGAUGAUUCCGGCUUGAUCACGACUUCCUUCAGGAUACAACGAUAUCGAUGACAGUGUUCUUCGCGUUUAAUGGUGAGUCGCAUGCAUUUUUCUUCCUCUGGUCACUCAAUCAUGUCGUAGGAUGAAAGGUCCGAAUCGACACGGGUGAUUGGUUGUAUACGUAGAAUUUUUGACGAGUAUAGUGACCCCGGGUAUUUAUUAUACCCGUGAGUAGUAACAUUUUCUGGUCUAUAUUUUAUUUAUUAAUUCAGGAUAGGUUUUCUUGCACAUCGCGUUUUAUUAUAUUAUUUUAUAAUUAUUAUAUUAUUAGAUAUAAUUAGUAUAUAUAUACAUAUCAUUGAAAAGUAUACAAUAUAUUCAAUACAAUUAUUUAUAAAAUUAAAUUAUAUUCGGCAUUACUAUAUAUUUAUAAAGUCCAAAUAUCUAUAUAAACAUAUAUAUAUAUGAGUAUUGAAAUAAACGACAAAAUGACUUCGUUUAAGUAUUUUGUAGUGAAGAAGUCUGAUACCUUCAGACUUCGUUAAUAUGGAAAUUCAAUUAUGAUUAAAGUUAUUAUAAUGCUGAUGAAGAUUAUAAAUAAUAUUUAUUUUAAUCUUUUACUUAACGAUGGUAUGGAACAGUUUUAUUAUUUAAGUAUACACAGUAUAAUUUCAGUAAAAAUAUGAAAUAGGGAAGUAUAUGUUAAAGUAUAACUUUCUCUGCCCGUUAUGUUGGAUGUUAUCAAAUUUCACGUGCAAGAAAACACUUCGCGACAGGCAGAUUUCAGAAUCAAAACAAGUUUUGAACGUUCCUUUGUGUUUUCAAAGAUGUGUUUUGAUAAAAAUAUCGCCUGAGGAUAUUUCGAGUAAUAGAGUUCAUUUAGAGUUUAUUGUUAUCUAUUGAUAUAAAUAUUACUUGCAUUAAAUCUUAAUUUCUGUUUAAUAAAUAUGUAUAUUCUUCGUUAAUUUCCUUCAUUACAGUUUAAUAGUUUAAUUGUUCAUUAAAAUAAUAAAGUAAAAUAAAAUUAUUAAAAUUUGAAAUGAAAUUGGAUUGCAAAAUCAAAGAAUAUUAGCCCGUUAGAUACAAAAUAUAAUAAAUAAGUUAAUCAUAUUUUUAGCAUAGGAUUUUCAGGUUUAACCCCUUCCAUGUUCAUUGUCAGAAUCUCACUCACGUGCCCAGGUGCGUCGUGGGUGGGAGGAAGGCAAUGGGCAUGAUGAGUAGUCUAUAAGCUUAACAAUUUUUUCAGCGACUGACGUUGCGUUAGCGUAUCGUGCACGACGUAUUUUCCACCGAGUGUGUAUGUGGUUAGGCUGUGGAAUUGCGUCGUUCUUGUUAUUUAUUAUAAUCUUGAAAUAGUUAUGGAUUCGAAAAUAUGAAUCCAAUAACCAUUGGAAAUAACAAUAUUAAUAAAUAGGUAUAAUGGAUCAUAAAUAGUAAUAUUAUUAAUGUCAGUAUUAAACUGCAGUGAAAAUUACAUUGAUUAAAAUACGAUGAUCUGUUCUAGUCAAAUUAUUUCUUUAGAUGAUGUGCAUAUACAUGAUUAUAUACGAUCAUGAGUAUUUAAUUAAAAUUGAAAUUUAAAUAUACCUGGAUAAUUAAAGUUGAAAUAUACAGAACAUUUUUACGCAAUGGUCGCUAGCCAUCGUCAGUCGAUUUCAGGAAAAUGGUACGUACAUUAGAGUGUGAAAGUUGUAUGUCAAACUCGGGUGUCGGAGGCGUCCCGGGACGUCUCUCUAGUGUAGGCUCUUGCGCCCGGGUUAUGUGUGAGAACCGUGGAGUGAGUGUGUUGGUGUGUUGUCUGUUUUGCUAUUUUUUAAAUAUAGAGCUAGGUAGGAUAGGUAGCAUACUUUCUGGUAUGAGUGUUAAUUAUAAGUAGGUAGGGUCGGGCAGGUUGGCACAGUCUCUGGACGGGUAGGCGCGAUUUCGCGUGUCCAACCUGUUUCAGGAAAUUUGAUUUGAGAAAUCGAAGGCGAAGCUGGCAUCAAGAAUGGAGCAUACCAUUAGUCUUGAGCCUUGCCUGUCGAUUUUUCGAA